rnacentral:rRNA from 1 species
AGCAGUAGGGAUCUUCCGCAAUGGACGAAAGUCUGACGGAGCAACGCCGCGUGAGUGAUGAAGGUUUUCGGAUCGUAAAACUCUGUUAUUAGGGAAGAACAAAUGUGUAAGUAACUGUGCACAUCUUGACGGUACCUAAUCAGAAAGCCACGGCUAACUACGUGCCAGCAGCCGCGGUAAUACGUAGGUGGCAAGCGUUAUCCGGAAUUAUUGGGCGUAAAGCGCGCGUAGGCGGUUUCUUAAGUCUGAUGUGAAAGCCCACGGCUCAACCGUGGAGGGUCAUUGGAAACUGGGAAACUUGAGUACAGAAGAGGAAAGUGGAAUUCCAUGUGUAGCGGUGAAAUGCGCAGAGAUAUGGAGGAACACCAGUGGCGAAGGCGACUUUCUGGUCUGUAACUGACGCUGAUGUGCGAAAGCGUGGGGAUCAAACAGGAUUAGAUACCCUGGUAGUCCACGCCGUAAACGAUGAGUGCUAAGUGUUAGGGGGUUUCCGCCCCUUAGUGCUGCAGCUAACGCAUUAAGCACUCCGCCUGGGGAGUACGACCGCAAGGUUGAAACUCAAAGGAAUUGACGGGGCCCC